GUGUUGUAGUAGGCGUCUUGCGGGGGCACGGGAUGUACGGGACAGGCCUCUCCCUAAACAUAGAGAGACAGUGCUAUCGUGCUGACCUUGUUGCAGAGAAAACAGGAGAAGAAGAAGGAUGAUAAAAGAAUGUGGAAACGGCCAAAUAAGGCACAAUGUUAUCUGGUGUGAACCAAUCAGAGUGGGACAUGACAGCACGGUUAUCUAGGUAAAAAUGUAUAUAAGCUGUGUUUAGUAGUGAAUAAACGCCAUUUUGCCUCACUUACUUCUGGGGUCUGCGUGAGCAUCUGGCCCCGACCUGGUAAAGGGUCGGUUUCGCCCAGCAGUAAGCCCUACACGUGGACAGAGGACGAACACCGGACGAGCGAACGGAGACUACACGCA
rnacentral:lncRNA from 1 species